GCCAUUGAAGAGCUGACUGCCAGUGGGGAAGGAUUUCUUUUGGGGAUUGCUCCUCUUGGGGUCUUCUCAGCAAGCCCAGGACAAGGGAACAGAAGAAAAUCUGCACGCAACCUCUUCACCUUUGCCCUGCCCCUCUGCAGCUGUGUCUGUAUGGACAUAUGGAGCAUUAAGGUUGGACAGGAACUCCUCUGGGCUCUGCGUUCUGACCAAGUCUUUAAUGACUGGACGUUCAGUUUGCCAGAAUUGCAUCUCAAGAUGUGGCCAGGACUGGUUUCAGUCCAUGGGCUGAAGACUCAGUUCCCCAAGGAGAGCCCCAAUACUCUGCAUGAUCUUCAUGCCACCGUUGUUUACUCUCGUAAUACUGCGUAGGCUUUAUGCCAGCGAGGAGAUGAGGUGGGAAGGAAGGUUUACCUGGCCGACCACCAGAAGAGCUGAGGACCUGCACAAUGGGGGUCCUGGGCCCUGCCUUCUCAGGAGCUGGAAGAGCAGUGCUCAUGUCAUUAAGAGCACUGAACUUUUGAAGGUGAGUCUCCAUGGCCUGUCAGCAAUGUUCAUGAAGGAACCAGUGCAAUGCAGCCAUGCAGGAGAUGAUGGUACCUGUAUUCACACUUCCAUAGAAACAGAAUAGCACAGAGCAAGAGCAUUUGAUUAAAAAUGCAAAUUGUCUGUGGUCAGAACGAUCUGAUGUGGAAAUAAAUUGAAGAAUCACAUGAUUUUGCUUAUGUCUGUGACCUACUGAAGUGCAAAGAUAUGAACACAUACUUUUUAUUAUAGACAAAUGGAAACAGCUUGAUACACUGUGAAUCAGUCAUGUUCUUUAAAGUUCAAAUCUGUUUUCUGCUGAAAAUUUAUUAGUUCUUACAGCAAUAAACACUACUCUUUGACAUUUCUAGCUGCUAGACAAGAGAAUGAGUUGGACAAAAGGAAAUCAUAGUCAACAAGAAAUGUAAUAUAGCACUGACACUACUCUCAUGGUUCCUAGAACAGUUGCAAGCAUUCAUAAAUGAGAGCACACGUGUACUGGGCUUGAAAAGCAUGAGACACUCCGCCUAAGACUAAGCAAGUAUCAGAAGGUUGCACUUGCCCCUGAGGAAUUUGCUCCAGCCCAUUCUUGUUCUUGCUGUGAAGUGAAUGAGGCCUCGUUAAGGCAGUUGUGGAGUCAGGUAAAGCAGCCCCUCCCCUGGCUGCUGCCCCCAUAGCUCAGCAUUCAGGGUCUGCUUGCCUCCUCCCAGCCCUGUGGAGUUGCUGCUUGCUGGCACGCGGCCGUGGCCAUGAGCAAUUGAUUCUGCACCCUUAGACCCCAGGUGCUCUGAGAUACCUCAGUUGUGGCUGUAAAUGAGAAUUUCUCAAUGGUCCCCAAUAGUCAGACGUCAUGCUUCUGACAGAUAAUGAUUAUUCCCCAAAUUACAUUAAGUAGAAGAGUUGAAGUGUCUUUUGUGUAUCUUGUCACGCUCUAUUAACUGAAAAAGACAACAGGAAAAAAAACCAACUGCCCAAAUAUUAACCAUUAUCCAUCAGCACAGAUUAUUAGCACCAAGCUUCAUUGUGCAAAUGCCUCCUAAUAAAACAGCAACGUUCCUUAUGUGAGACCUCACCUUCGUCUUUAUGCAUUCUAUAGCUGUGCAGAUCGCCUUGCUUCAGUUGUCAAAGCUAACCAGUGCCCCACCUUCUGCUAAAAGCAUGCUUUUUAAGUAAUACUUUGAUAGGCAUUUGUCUUAUGUAAGCUUCACCCUUCCAUGCAAAGAUCAAAAGCAGUGCGCUGACGAAGGAUUUGUCUGAAAUCAAAGAAAUACUCUGGCUCUCUGCUAAGUAGCUUAUUCUGA